CCUACGGGUGGCAGCAGUGGGGAAUAUUGGACAAUGGGCGAAAGCCUGAUCCAGCCAUGCCGCGUGUGUGAAGAAGGCCUUCGGGUUGUAAAGCACUUUCAGUGGGGAAGAAAGCCUUGGGGCUAAUACCCUCGAGGAAGGACAUCACCCACAGAAGAAGUACCGGCUAACUCCGUGCCAGCAGCCGCGGUAAUACGGAGGGUGCGAGCGUUAAUCGGAAUUACUGGGCGUAAAGCGCGCGUAGGCGGUCUGAUAAGCCGGUUGUGAAAGCCCCGGGCUCAACCUGGGAACGGCAUCCGGAACUGUCAGGCUAGAGUGCAGGAGAGGAAGGUAGAAUUCCCGGUGUAGCGGUGAAAUGCGUAGAGAUCGGGAGGAAUACCAGUGGCGAAGGCGGCCUUCUGGACUGACACUGACGCUGAGGUGCGAAAGCGUGGGUAGCAAACAGGAUUAGAUACCCUUGUAGUC
rnacentral:rRNA from 1 species